rnacentral:ncRNA from 1 species
GAUAGCUGUGAAGCGGAGGUUGCUGUGGGACUCACGACCACAGGUUUUCCGUGGAGCAAAUGUCUCGUUCAAGAAACAGACGACAA